ACGGGAGGCAGCAGUGGGGAAUAUUGGGCAAUGGGCGAAAGCCUGACCCAGCAACGCCGCGUGAAGGAAGAAGGUCUUCGGAUUGUAAACUUCUUUUAUGAGGGACGAAGGACGUGACGGUACCUCAUGAAUAGGCUACGGCUAACUACGUGCCAGCAGCCGCGGUAAUCCGUAGGUAGCGAGCGUUAUCCGGAUUUACUGGGUGUAAAGGGCGCGUAGGCGGGGAAGCAAGUCAGGUGUGAAAUCUAUGGGCUUAACCCAUAAACUGCACUUGAAACUGUUUUUCUUGAGUGCUGGAGAGGUAGACGGAAUUCCUAGUGUAGCGGUGAAAUGCGUAGAUAUUAGGAAGAACACCAGUGGCGAAGGCGGUCUACUGGACAGUAACUGACGCUGAGGCGCGAAAGCGUGGGGAGCAAACAGGAUUAGAUACCCUGGUA
rnacentral:rRNA from 1 species